AUUGAACGCUGGCGGCAGGCCUAACACAUGCAAGUCGAGCGGAUGAAGGGUGCUUGCUCCUGGAUUCAGCGGCGGACGGGUGAGUAAUGCCUAGGAAUCUGCCUGGUAGUGGGGGAUAACGUCCGGAAACGGGCGCUAAUACCGCAUACGUCCUGAGGGAGAAAGUGGGGGAUCUUCGGACCUCACGCUCUCAGAUGAGCCUAGGUCGGAUUAGCUAGUUGGUGGGGUAAAGGCCUACCAAGGCGACGAUCCGUAGCUGGUCUGAGAGGAUGAUCAGUCACACUGGAACUGAGACACGGUCCAGACUCCUACGGGAGGCAGCAGUGGGGAAUAUUGGACAAUGGGCGAAAGCCUGAUCCAGCCAUGCCGCGUGUGUGAAGAAGGUCUUCGGAUUGUAAAGCACUUUUAGUUGGGAGGAAGGGCAGUAAGUUAAUACCUUGCUGUUUUGACGUUACCAACAGAAUAAGCACCGGCUAACUUCGUG
rnacentral:rRNA from 1 species